AGAGUAGUAGCUCAAUUGGAAGAGCAUAUGCCUACCACGCAUAGGGUUACCAGUUCGAGUCUGGUCUGCUCUA
rnacentral:tRNA from 1 species